rnacentral:rRNA from 1 species
AGAGUUUGAUCAUGGCUCAGGAUUAACGCUGGCGGUAUGCCUAACACAUGCAAGUCGAACGGAAUACUAAUUAAGAGAAUCUCACACUAGUGAGAGGGUUCUCACGAGUAGUAUUUAGUGGCGGACGGGUGAGUAACACGUUGGAACCUGCCCCGAAGUGGGGAAUAACUGCUCGAAAGAGUAGCUAAUACCCCAUAGUAUCCGGUUUAUCCGGAUUAAAGAUUUAUCGCUUCGGGAGGGGCCUGCGUCUGAUUAGCUAGUUGGUGAGGUAAAAGCUCACCAAGGCGACGAUCAGUAGCUGGUUCGAGAGGAUGACCAGCCACACUGGGACUGAGAUACGGCCCAGACUCCUACGGGAGGCAGCAGUGAGGAAUCUUCCACAAUGGGCGCAAGCCUGAUGGAGCAAUACCGCGUGCAGGAAGACGCUUUUCGGAGUGUAAACUGCUUUUGUCGUCGAAGAUUAUGACUGUAGACGAAGAAUAAGGACCGGCUAACUACGUG